UCCCUACGGGAGGCAGCAGUGAGGAAUAUUGGUCAAUGGCCGGAAGGCUGAACCAGCCAAGCCGCGUGAAGGACGAAGGUGCCAAGCAUUGUAAACUUCUUUUGUCAAGGGACAAAAUCAGGCUCGAGAGCCUGACCGAGGGUACUUGAAGAAAAAGCAUCGGCUAACUCCGUGCCAGCAGCCGCGGUAAUACGGAGGAUGCGAGCGUUAUCCGGAUUUAUUGGGUUUAAAGGGUGGGUAGGCGGGAUGUUAAGUCAGUGGUAAAAGUAUGGGGGUCAAACCCGGGGAGGCGUUGAAACUGGUUG
rnacentral:rRNA from 1 species